CCAUCCUUAUUGCCACUUAUUACUGUUCCUACACCUCCUCUCCUCUCUCUCUCUAGCCUACACCCUCUCUCUAGGCAUCUCCUUUUUGGAUCUUAGAGAGAAGUGGGCAGCAUCCUUUUUUUGGUGAUAAGGGUUGGCAUCAAGAUUGAUUGGUUCAUUUUCUUUUCUCUCAAGUUGUUGAGAAUUAGUUACAACUACUUCUUGUUUGUUGUUCGUCUUGA
rnacentral:lncRNA from 1 species